rnacentral:rRNA from 1 species
GGGGCUAGCCUCAAGGUGAGAGAUACGGAGGUAGAGCACUGAAUGUCCUAGGGGGUAUUGCACCUACCGAAGACUAUCAAACUCCGAAUGCCGUCAUCUUAUACUUGGGAGUCAGACUGUGGGUGAUAAGAUUCAUAGUCGAAAGGGCAACAGCCCAGAUCGUCAGCUAAGGUCCCUAAAUGUAAGUUAAGUGGUAAAGGAUGUGGGAUUGCACAGACAACCAGGAUGUUGGCUUAGAAGCAGCCACUCAUUCAAAGAGUGCGUAAUAGCUCACUGGUCGAGUGAUCCUGCGCCGAAGAUUUCCGGGGCUAAAACUUACUACCGAAGCUACGGCAUCAGUAAUGAUGGGUAGGGGAGCUUCCCAUACGGGUUGAAGCAUGACCGUAAGGACAUGUGGACAGUAUGGGAGUGAGAAUGUUGGCAUGAGUAGCGAGAUGUGGGUGAGAAUCCCACAGGCCGUAAACCCAAGGUUUCCAGGGGAAGGUUCGUCCGCCCUGGGUUAGUCGGGACCUAAGCUGAGGCCGAAAGGCGUAGGUGAUGGACAACAUAGUUGAUAUUCCUGUACUACCGAUAACCGUUUGAGAGAAGGGAUGACACAGUAGGAUAAGCUGAGCACACUGUUGGUUAUGUGUGCCCAAGCAUUGAGGCAGUCAAAGUAGGCAAAUCCGCUUUGAUAAUGCUGGGAUGUGAUGGGGAGCGAAAUUUAGUAGCGAAGUAGCUGAUUUCACACUGUCAAGAAAAGUCUCUAUCGAGGUUAAAGGUACCCGUACCGCAAACCGACACAGGUGGGUGAGGAGAGUAUCCUAAGGCCAGCGAGAGAACUGUUGUUAAGGAACUCGGCAAAAUGACCCCGUAACUUAGGGAUAAGGGGUGCCACCAUCAGGUGGCCGCAGAGAAUAGGCCCAAGCGACUGUUUACCAAAAACAUAGGUUUCUGCUAAGUCGCAAGACGAUGUAUAGGAGCUGACGCCUGCCCGGUGCUGGAAGGUUAAGGGGAUCUGUUAGAGCAAUCGAAGCAGUGAACUUAAGCCCCAGUAAACGGCGGCCGUAACUAUAACGGUCCUAAGGUAGCGAAAUUCCUUGUCGGGUAAGUUCCGACCCGCACGAAAGGCGUAACGAUUUGGGCACUGUCUCAACAACAGACUCGGUGAAAUUGUAAUUCCGGUGAAGAUGCCGGAUACCUGCGACAGGACGGAAAGACCCCAUGGAGCUUUACUGUAGCUUGACAUUGGGUCUUGGUACUACAUGUACAGGAUAGGUGGGAGGCUUUGAAACCAGGACGCCAGUUUUGGCGGAGCCAUCCUUGGGAUACCACCCUUGUAGUACUGGGACUCUAACCAUAGGCCAUGAAUCUGGUCUUGGGACACUGUCAGGUGGGCAGUUUGACUGGGGCGGUCGCCUCCCAAAAGGUAACGGAGGCGCUCAAAGGUUCUCUCAGUACGGUCGGAAAUCGUACGUAGAGUGUAAAGGCAAAAGAGAGCUUGAUUGCAAGACAUACAGGUCGAGCAAGGAUGAAAAUCGGACUUAGUGAUCCGGUGGUUCUGCGUGGAAGGGCCAUCGCUCAACGGAUAAAAGCUACCCUGGGGAUAACAGGCUUAUCUCCCCCAAGAGUCCACAUCGACGGGGAGGUUUGGCACCUCGAUGUCGGCUCAUCACAUCCUGGGGCUGUAGUAGGUCCCAAGGGUUGGGCUGUUCGCCCAUUAAAGUGGUACGCGAGCUGGGUUCAGAACGUCGUGAGACAGUUCGGUCCCUAUCCGUCGCAGGGACGUAGGAAAUUUGAGAAGACCUGUCCUUAGUACGAGAGGACCGGGAUGGACGUACCUCUGGUGUACCAGUUGUCCUGCCAAGGGCAUGGCUGGGUAGCUAUGUACGGAAUGGAUAAGCGCUGAAAGCAUCUAAGCGCGAAGCCAACUUCAAGAUAAGAUUUCCCACCGCAAGGGUAAGACCCCAGAAAGACUAUCUGGUUGAUAGGUCGAAGGUGUAAGUGCAGCAAUGUAUUUAGCUUAUCGAUACUAAUAGGUCGAGGACUUGACCA